AAGAAAAAGAAGGCUUAAAAUUUUUCACAACAUUCAAUUUUAGAGUACUGAUUGCUAUAUAGCCAGAAAUGGAUUUAGAUAAUGUGUUUUGUUUUUUUUUAUAACUCGGGGUGUCCGAAUCAGCUUAUAUGUACCACAACUAAUAUGCUGUUGAUUACUUCUUAGAUGGUCUUAUAGUGUUGAGAAGAAAAGGAAAGAGCAGUUUAAGGUUUUUAUUUCACUAAAUUUAUAGGUCCUCUAAAUCAAACUUCGUUGAUGAUUGACCAAGUAGUAGAAUUAUGAAGUUUCUGCUUUAAUUCAUGUUCUUAUGAAAUAAAAAAAAGAAGACAAACUUGAUUUAUUUUGUGUGAGAUAUUUUUUUUUCUUCCAUUUAAUUGGAUAUAUAUUUCUCAUGACUUUUCAGGCGAAAUGGGGUUUCGAUUGUUAUUCCAGCAUUCUCUCCGACUCCAUUCAUGAUGAUUUAGUGGCCUUGCUAUUCAAUUAAGAAUUUGUGAUUGGCUUUAUGUGUAAUAAGUAGGGAAGUAAAUAUUCUUGUAAGAGAAUCGACAAGAGGUUGUUCUUGCAAGUGGAAGUUCUCCUGAAGUUGUCAUCUCCACUCACAGAGGUUGCAAAGUUUCAUCUUUUGUAAUAUAAAACCAGUGAUGUUCCAUUUGAAUUGCAGGGUCUGUGGAGGGUUUUUUUGUUUUUUUUUUCCCUUCCUAAUUAGGUUUAGUUUUAUUGUCUGUAAUUCUGAGUAGAUUUUCCCAUCUCUAAGCAAAUGGGUGUGAAACAUUUUCUUUACGCUUUUGAUUUCACAGCAGUUUUCUUUUUGUGGAUACCGCGUUGUGAAUAAAUUAGUAUCGCAUGGAAGAAAAAAUUAAAAAAUUAACGGGAAUAAGAAUUUUUAAGUUCAAA
rnacentral:lncRNA from 1 species